rnacentral:rRNA from 1 species
UACAGAGGGGGCAAGCGUUGUUCGGAAUUACUGGGCGUAAAGGGCGCGUAGGCGGCCUGCUAAGUCGAACGUGAAAUCCCCGGGCUCAACCCGGGAACUGCGUCCGAUACUGGCAGGCUUGAAUUCGGGAGAGGGAUGCAGAAUUCCAGGUGUAGCGGUGAAAUGCGUAGAUAUCUGGAGGAAUACCGGUGGCGAAGGCGGCAUCCUGGACCGACAUUGACGCUGAACGGCGAAAGCUAGGGGAGCAAACGGG